rnacentral:rRNA from 1 species
UACGUAGGGUGCAAGCGUUAAUCGGAAUUACUGGGCGUAAAGCGUGCGCAGGCGGCUUUGCAAGACAGAUGUGAAAUCCCCGGGCUUAACCUGGGAACUGCAUUUGUGACUGCAUCGCUGGAGUGCGGCAGAGGGGGAUGGAAUUCCGGCGUGUAGCAGUGAAAUGCGUAGAUAUGCGGAGGAACACCGAUGGCGAAGGCAAUCC